rnacentral:ncRNA from 1 species
UUAAUUUGACUCAACACAGGAAACCUCACCCGGCCCAGACACAGACAGGAUUAACAGAUUGAUAGCUCUUUCUCGAUUCCGUGGGUGGUGGUGCAUGGCCGUUCUUAGCUGGUGGAGUGAUUUGUCUGGUUAAUUCCCAUAACGAAAGAGACUCUAGCAUGCUAACUAGUUACGCGAUCCCUGAGCCGUAGGCGUCCCCCAACUUCUUAGAGGGACAAGCGGCGUUCAGCCACCCAAGAUUGAACAAUAACAGGUCUGUGAUGCCCUAGGUGAGCAAAGCC